ensembl:lincRNA
GGAACCGAGCCAUUUGGAUGGAAUACAACCGCUGUUUGGAAACUUUAUCUUCUUACUGAGCUUGGCUGUCUGCUACAUGCUCCCUAUGGAGUGGAACAUCCACAAACAUUUUUAAGCUACAGCUUUGUGUCCCACCAAAGGUGCUGAGGACUGAACACAUGGACUCACACAUCAUACAUGGGUAAGCUCUCCCAUCUACCACCUAGCUUCAGGUUUGUCAGCCAUCUCUCCAGCAUACACAUUAAGCAUUUGAAAAUAGACACUGCUGAUAUUGGAUGAUAGCAAGGUU